UACAGAGGUCUCAAGCGUUUGUUCGGAUUCAUUGGGCGUAAAGGGUGCGUAGGCGGCGCGGUAAGUCGGGUGUGAAAUCUCGGAGCUUAACUCCGAAACUGCAUUCGAUACUGCCGUGCUUGAGGACUGGAGAGGAGACUGGAAUUUACGGUGUAGCGGUGAAAUGCGUAGAUAUCGUAAGGAAGACCAGUGGCGAAGGCGGGUCUCUGGACAGUUCCUGGACGGCUGAGGCACGAAGGUCAGGGGAGCAAACGGG
rnacentral:rRNA from 1 species